rnacentral:lncRNA from 1 species
GUCGGGGCUCCGCGCUCCGCUCCGGGCAGGGCUCGCCAUGCUCCGGAAUGCGAAAUGCAGCUUUCCAGAAUGCCAGAAAGAAUUUCUGCAUCGGACCUCACCCCAUCAGAGGAGAAGGGGCUGUCCCUCAGGCAGGAGGGGUCACCAGUGAUGGUGUUUGUUGUGUGUAAACAGCACAAGAUUGGCAGCAGUAACACAGGAGGAUUCUGAGGGCUGGUUUCACAAAGCCAGCACCAACCAGCAGCCAAAUCCCUCAGGUGGGAGGCUUUGAACUCUGAGAUCUGACCAGAACCUGGAACUCUCCCCUGUGGACCCCCAACCCCUCCACCCAAAGCGACGUCUGUGUUUGCUGAGCAGUCAAAGCAGACAGCAACAGAAACACACAGGGCAGAGAAGAUCUGCUUGGGGUCUCUGUGAUUUCACAGUUGGCACUCCUUUUCUGCAUCUAUUCUGUCUCCAAGACCAGAAGAAAUGGGAGGUUUGGCCUGAGGAAGCUUGGACAGCUCAAACAUUGUCCUUCCAGAGGGAAGAGGGUCUCCAAAAGAAGGUGAAGGUAUGAUUUAUCAUGGACAUGGGAGGCAGGAGGUUUUUCCAUGUUACAAAUGGAUCAAAUGGAAGCAAAACAGGGCCAGGCUCAAAGUGAGAAGGUGACACAUGGUUGGCCAAGUCACCAUGAGCUGUAAUGGGUUCUCCUGUGCUGAAGAUGCUCCAAAGCACCCAGGGAUGGCUUGAAAUGUGCCCUCAGCCACCAGGGACACAGCGGGGCAGGCAUCUUUUACCUCCAGGCUUUUGGAGGUCAGUGAGAAGGUUUCCAAAGACACAGUGAUGUUGAGGGUAUCUCCAAGCUUCUCCCCAUCCUGCAAACUCCAUGUCAUAAUGGCAUUUUCCCCCAAAUCCUCCUCAAACAUUUGUUAAACACCAAAUUUUGCUUUAGUCUGCUCCACGGGGGAUUCCUUCUGGCUGUGCUUCAUGCCAGCGCUGGGGCUCAAACCUCGUGAGUGGUUUCUGCUCUUGACUUCCCACAUCCCUUCUAAGCUCAUUCGGAAAACAUCUUCCCUUGCCCAACGUCUCCACCAAUUCCCCUGCCCCUUUGUUUUUAUUUAGCUCUGUAAUUACAUUAUCUGACCGUACAGCGAUUUGGAAUGAAAUCUGCAUAAAAGAUAUUAAGAAAAAUAAAUCUGUGUUUUGCAAUAUCUUUGAAGAUAUC